CUUGCGUCUGAUUAGCUAGUUGGUGUGGUAAUGGCGCACCAAGGCUACGAUCAGUAACUGGUCUGAGAGGAUGAUCAGUCACACUGGAACUGAGACACGGUCCAGACUCCUACGGGAGGCAGCAGUGAGGAAUAUUGGGCAAUGCACGAAAGUGUGACCCAGCAACGCCGCGUGGAGGAUGAAGGUAUUCUAUAUCGUAAACUCCUGUGAGAGCAGACGAAAGACAGAUUAUUAAUUUGGAUGACUGUAUGCUCAGAGGAAGCCCCGGCUAACUACGUG
rnacentral:rRNA from 1 species